CUCUUAUCCCGAGCUGGCGGAGGGACAGGCCCGAUGAAGCCCAGCAACCUCACUUGUAGUGGUAAAUACAUGUGAAUAGGUGCUAAAACCUGUGCGAGGCUAAUGGUCUCGAACGAUAAGAG
rfam:Bacillus cereus Rock4-18 chromosome, whole genome shotgun sequence.